rnacentral:rRNA from 1 species
CAGGCCUAACACAUGCAAGUCGGGCGGUAGCACAGGAGAGCUUGCUCUCUGGGUGACGAGCGGCGGACGGGUGAGUAAUGUCUGGGAAACUGCCUGAUGGAGGGGGAUAACUACUGGAAACGGUAGCUAAUACCGCAUAACGUCGCAAGACCAAAGUGGGGGACCUUCGGGCCUCAUGCCAUCAGAUGUGCCCAGAUGGGAUUAGCUAGUAGGUGAGGUAAUGGCUCACCUAGGCGACGAUCCCUAGCUGGUCUGAGAGGAUGACCAGCCACACUGGAACUGAGACACGGUCCAGACUCCUACGGGAGGCAGCAGCGGGGAAUAUUGCACAAUGGGCGCAAGCCUGAUGCAGCCAUGCCGCGUGUAUGAAGAAGGCCUUCGGGUUGUAAAGUACUUUCAGCGAGGAGGAAGGCGAUAAGGUUAAUAACCUUGUCGAUUGACGUUACUCGCAGAAGAAGCACCGGCUAACUCCGUGCCAGCAGCCGCGGUAAU